AGAGUUUGAUCCUGGCUCAGAUUGAACGCUGGCGGCAUGCCUUACACAUGCAAGUCGAACGGUAACGCGGGGCAACCUGGCGACGAGUGGCGAACGGGUGAGUAAUACAUCGGAACGUGCCCAGUAGUGGGGGAUAGCCCGGCGAAAGCCGGAUUAAUACCGCAUACGACCUACGGGUGAAAGCGGGGGACCGCAAGGCCUCGCGCUAUUGGAGCGGCCGAUGUCAGAUUAGGUAGUUGGUGGGGUAAAGGCCUACCAAGCCUGCGAUCUGUAGCUGGUCUGAGAGGACGACCAGCCACACUGGGACUGAGACACGGGCCAGACUCCUACGGGAGGCAGCAGUGGGGAAUUUUGGACAAUGGGCGCAAGCCUGAUCCAGCCAUGCCGCGUGCGGGAAGAAGGCCUUCGGGUUGAAAACCGCUUUUGUCAGGGAAGAAAUCCUUUGGGCUAAUACCCUGAAGGGAUGACGGGACCUGAAGAAUAAGCACCGGGUAACUACGGGCC
rnacentral:rRNA from 1 species